rnacentral:lncRNA from 10 species
CUGCACUCCAGCCUGGGCCACAGAGCAAGACCCUAUAUUUAAAAUAAAAUAAAGUAAAAUAAAAUAAAACAAAAUAAAAAUCAAGAAGGUUCACUGUGUAAAAAAAAAGUAAAUCUGAAAUGCAUUUGCAUGGCAGUUGUACAACCUGUGAGUGGUGUAGAAAUUAUAUGUGACUUGAGUACAUUUUAUAAAAGAAGAAAAAAAAAUUGAACAGGUUGACUCCUAAUAAGAAAGCACCACAGAGUGUACAGCCCACGGUGCCUGUGGGCUGUGUGGGGGCCCUGCUGCAGACGCGUGCUCAGCACCUGUCACCCACAGCUAAGUCACAAGAGCUGCUGGCACCUGUUUGCAGGGGAAUGUGGCAACAUGCACCCGGGUGCAUCCAGACAGCCUGGGUGAGCGGGAGAGCCACAAAGAACCAACUUCAUUCGUGUGAUUUCCAGAUGCAGGUCUGGUUCAGUUCUUGAUGCCCGAGUUUCAAAGUCUCCUACCUGACCAAGUGUCCUCGGCCUAGUUUGUACUGACCUUCUUUGAGGAGCACAGAUGGGAAACACAUUGGUGGCGAAGAUCUCCUGCAUCACCCCGAGGCUGCGGGAGAUCCCUUGGGAGCCAGCUGUCGGACUGAGGAGGAGGAGGGGUGCCACAGUCUCGAGGGGUUCACGCUGCUGGCCACAGCCCUGCAUGCCCCCUCGGCGCUCCCCAAGCUCUCGGGGACGAUUCAGAUCAGCUUUCCCCACAGCUUCAGGGCAGAGGCUGAAGUUGCAGACAGCAACGAUGGAGGCCUGCAGGUCAGGCACCGCGGCUGUCCCCAGCAACCCUGUUCUCAGAGACUCCCUCUGCGCCUGGAGCUAGUACCAGAGAGCCCCGGAGCUGGGCCUGGAGGACUUUACAUCCUCCUCACAGAGGGCCACGCUCUUGACCACCCCUACAUCUGUCUCUGCGGCGAUAAACUUUCCCUCGACUGGACUUCUGGCCAGAUUUUUUUUUGAGACAGUCUUGCUCAGUUGCCCAGGCUGGAGUGCAGUGGCGUCAUCUCAGUUCACUGCAAUGUCCACCUCCUGGGUUCAGGCAAUUCUCUGCCUCAGCCUCCCGAGUAGCUGAGAUUACAGGCGCCUGCCACCACACCUGGCUAAUUUUUUGUAUUUUUAGUAGAGAUGGGGAGUGGGGGGGCGGGUCUCACCAUCUUGGCCAGGCUGGUCUUGAACUCCUGACCUCGUGAUCCACCCGCCUCAGCCUCCCAAGGUGCUGGGAUUACGGGCAUGAGCCACUGCGCCCGGCCACUUCUGGUCAGACUUUAACAGACGAGCUACACGGUCUAAGCCAGCUGGGGCUCACCAGCGCCGGGCAAGGCCAGACCUGCGACCUGUCGAGAAGAUGUGGUCCUCCAGGAAAGCUCUACUUCAACGACAAAUAGGACCAGGCAAGAGACGGGAAGCCCUUCCACCGACCAUGGCCCUCUGUGCCUCUCUGCACCCUCCCACCCCACCCACGAGGGCCAGGCUGUGUGUCGGCCCGGCAGGAAAUUCAGGCUGACGUGGGACCCCACGGUAACUGCACCUGUGUCCCGCUUUGGUUCAUGUUACAACACACAUCCGAAAGAAAACCAAAGGGAGAAAAUAACCUCCUUGAACCUGCUUAAGAAAAAGCACCUAAGUUUUGGGUGGAGCUGUUUCUACUACUGUGAAGUCAGCCACUGAGCCGCAUUUCCAACACGACUUCCAGCAAAUCACCGUCAGCCACGUGCCGAGGCUGCCGGGCGCGUGAGAGUCUCACAAUGACAAUGUCCGGGAAGGAUUUCCAAACGUCAGGGUUAAGCAUGGGAGCGAUUCUCGUCCCCGCCACACCCGGAUCCGCCAGGACAGAGAAGCCGGUACCCCAGCGGGUGGUCUGCUUUUCUGCGCAGAAGCACUGUGGUCUAUUUCUGAGUUCUACCCACUUCCUACCCCUCACCGCACACAAACACUAACUUGCAGCAGCAUCCACCAGGACGGGGUAUCUGGAACUCCCUCACUUCUAGGGACCUCCUGUUCCCUCCUGCUGGGUUCUGCGAGCGCACCCUGUGAAUGGGAAAUUCAAACACUGAGAAAAGCUUAUCUGCCAGGGACUAGUUCAGUGGGAUGUGGAUUAGCUAAGGCCCAAAGCAUGGCUGUUCUGGGCCCUCAGGUCCUCCGGGUUCAGGGGCUGGAGCCAUGGCCAUGGCCUGCGGUAGGCAGAACCACGCCACGCCAGCAUCUCCUAGAAGGGGCUGCCCUGGGCCCGCGGCACCAGACGGACACAGCUGCGCGAGGGGAAGGGCGAAGGAUGCUUCCAGGGAGCAGUGACCUGUGUCUGAAGUGAGCUUCCACCCGAGGAGAUGCCAAUACUGCAGCCCAGAAAUCCAAUGCGUCUAUUUCAAUAUGGCGCCCUGAACACCGCAAAUAACCUGCCUCCAAGUUCCAGAGGGUUCUGGAGGGAGAGAUGGAGCAGCAAGUGAAUGAGAAGCCAUAGGGCAGGUCUCAGUGACCUGAAGACUUUCCUCCAGAGAGCGUGCAAGACAGGCCAUGAACCUGGGACCUGGAGGCAGGAGCAGCACGUCCACACCCUGUGGGCUCCACUCCCAGAGCUCAGUUACCCCCGAAAACCGUAGACUCUGCCUCUCCCUGGUCGCCUGUCAGCCGCCGUUGAGGCCUGCUCAAAAGGCGGCUUCAGCUCCUUUCUUGGGAAACCUAACGCUUUUCUGUUCCAGGUCCAACACAACGCCUCACAAAACGAUCACGAGAUUGAAAGGCUGAUGUCAGUGAACCAUCCCCUUCCAGGGCACGCAGUGCCAGACCCUCCCCUGGUGCCUCUGUAUACAGGCGUCCAGCCCGCCCGCUGCAGUCCCCCCACCGACUCUCAGGUCUGGACCAGCUCCCCUGAACGCCAAGGCUUCAAGGAAACACCAGGAUCCCAUAUUUCAGGACCAUCUCUCCCCGGGGCUGCUGUGCAAAUUAAGCAAGUCUUAAAGUGGCCUGUCCUCUUCAAAGCAAAGCCUCCUGAAUUUCAAGCAAUCAUUUCGGAAAGAGACUGCUAAGCACAUGUGAUGCACCUUACAGAGAAAUGGCACUACCAGAUUUGGAAAGGCUGCAUGUGCGUGAGGAAAGAUUAGCAAGGAUUUCAUCUCUGCCCUUAAAUCACCAAAGAAAACCCACCAUCCCCGCAAUUCUCGAGGCAGGUUGCUGGCCACAGUGAGAAGACCUUGGUGGCACGUUACACGGUGAAAUACAAUCCUCACCACAUUAAACAUGGAUGUCCCCAAACCUGGAAGGAACCUCCCAGCUUGCCUCUUCAGUGACUGUCAACCCUGGCUGACAUCAGAACCGCCUGGGACAUGGAGAAACCUGUAUGAGUUGGUGUCUCAGGCCUGGCGGCUCAGCACACUGCCCGGGUGAGAGCUCCUCAGGUGAUUCGACUGUGUCCCCAGGGCAGAGAGCCACUACAUCAUCCAGCAUGGAGACGUGAGGACAUCCAGGCUCCCAGAGCUCAGCCUACAGUCGGAGCACACUGUGUGCUCAGGGCAGGUGUUUUUCUGGCGCACUCUCUGCCUUUCCCACUUGUGGUCAGUUCAAGCCCCCACCAGCCACACAUGGGCUAAUGGUGCUAAGUGGCAUCCCCACUCCUCUUUCCAGAAAGCUGCUUGUUUGGGCAAGAAGAGAGAUGCCCCGUGAUGCCGAAGAGCAAGUUAUGGUGGAGGCCUGAGCAUGAGAGCUCUGGUCACACCACGCCGAGGACCGGACGGUGCCCUUGCUUCCUGUGAGUGGUCUCUUCGCUUUCUGGCUGGAACGAUAACCCCAGGGGUUGUGAGGACAGAACCUCCACCUGCCAUCCCCAUGGGCACCGCUGGUCUCCAGAGCACGUCAAGGUCCUUCCCCUCCCAGCUUCUGAUCUUGGAGAGCGAGGCCUCUCAUGCUCACAUGCAUGUGUUUAGGUGUAUAUGCUGCCAUGCCAUGCUUUAAAAAUAAAAAGUGUUUUGAAUAAAAGCCUCUGGAACACAACUUUAUUUAUUUACUUUUUUGGAGACAGAGUCCCACUCUGUCACCAGGCUGGAGUGCAGUGGCAUGAUCUCGGCUCACUGCAACCUCUGCCUACCGGGUUCAAGCGAUUCUCCUGCCUCUGCUUUCCGAGUAGCUAGGAUUACAGGCGCCCACCACCACACCCAGCUAAUUUUUGUAUUUUUAGUAGAGUUGGGGUUUCACCAUGUUGGCCAGGAUGGUCUCGAUCUCUUGACCUUGUGAUCCGCUCGCCUCGGACUCUCAAAGUGCUGGGAUUACAGGCAUGAGCCACUGCGCCCGGCCAUCUUCAUUUAUUUUUAAGAUGGGGUCUUUGCUCUUGCCCAGGGUGGAGUGCAGAGUGCGAUCGCAGCUCGCUGUAGCCUCAAGCUCCUGGGCUCAAACGAUCCUUCUGCCUCAGCCUCCCAAGUAGCUGGCACUACAAGCAUGCACCACCAUGCCCAGCUGAUUCUAUCCGUAAAGAUGGGGUCUCUUGUGGCCUGGGUUGGUCUCAAACUCCUGCACUCAAGCAAUUCUCCCACCUUGGCCUCCCAAAGUGCUGGGAUUAUAGGUGUGAGCCACACCUGUAUUAUUUACAAUGGUUCUCCUACAUGCCAGGCUUUGUUUGGUAUGUGGAAAUAAAAACUGUGAUGAAUAAAUAAUAAACCACCUUCAAAUAACAUUAGGAUUAGAGCUGGGUGUGGUGGCUCAUGCCUGUAAUCCCAGCACUGUGGGAGGCUGUGGGAGGCUGAGGUGGGCCGAUCACGAGGUCAGGAGAUAG